rnacentral:lncRNA from 1 species
CUCUGCUGUUCUACAUCCCUCAACCAUCAGCUGCCCACCCCCCUGAGGCCAUCUGUCCCACAGCCCAUGUGAUGCAGCCACUCACAGCCUCCAAGGGCCUUUCAGUGUCUGUCCCACCCUUUCCAAUUCCAUCACUACUGGCUUCCAGAUAUCUGCAGUUUCUGUAGAAACUCUUCACUACUCUGAACCAGCUAGUUAUCAGGUUCAUAUUUUGGUGCCUUAAACUCCAGGGAAAUCAUUCUUAUUUAAUUAUUCACAAGUAUUUUCCUUCCAGAAGUGCUAGACACCACCAUGGCGGGGGCAGGGGAGGCACGACUCAGCCUCCACAGGGUCAGUGCCCAGGGCCCAAUCCACUCUAAGUGUGACUCAUUCCUUCUUCCUCACCUAUGGUCCUUUAGGGGACCUGGUGCUCAAUCCCUGCAUCUGGCAGGGCCCUCUAAACCCCUAAGACACAUCUGCACAUGUCAGAAUUCAAGGUGUGGACAGGAUUCACGUUCCUCCCAUGGGGCUAUUGGCACAACCCAGACAGGGUUGUGGCUAAAGAGCUGCCCAAGUGUCCCUUAACCUCCCACACACUGGGACUCUCUACAUCUCCACAUUUCAUCAUAUCUGAGUCUUCACUUUGAUCCAG